AGAACGAACGCUGGCGGCAUGCCUAAUACAUGCAAGUCGAACGAACUCUUCGGAGUUAGUGGCGCACGGGUGCGUAACGCGUGGGAAUCUGCCCCUUGGUUCGGAAUAACAGUUGGAAACGACUGCUAAUACCGGAUGAUGACGAAAGUCCAAAGAUUUAUCGCCAAGGGAUGAGCCCGCGUAGGAUUAGCUAGUUGGUGAGGUAAAGGCUCACCAAGGCAACGAUCCUUAGCUGGUCUGAGAGGAUGAUCAGCCACACUGGGACUGAGACACGGCCCAGACUCCUACGGGAGCAGCAGUAGGGAAUAUGGACAAUAGGCGAAAGCCUGAUCCAAGCAAUGACCGCGUGAGUGAUGAA
rnacentral:rRNA from 1 species